UGAAGGAUACUUUUAUGUUUGACAGGGAGUCAAGAUCCUGUCUAUACCAGAAGUAAAGGCAUUCCGGCAUAUUUACACUCAAGAUAUUGCAUGGAUUGGAAACAAGAAGGCAUGCAUAUAGGCAACAAACUUUCAUAGGAUUGCAUUGGCUAUUUGGGGUCUCUUCUGGCACCUCAGCCACAGCAACUUCUUACUCAACGUGUCUCUGGAGGCAAGGGAAACAAAAGCAAAAAUGAACUAUUGGGACCUCAUCACUAUAAAAAACUUCUGCAUGGCGAAAGAAACGAUCAGCAAAACUAAAAGGCAGCCAAUGGAAUGGGAGAAGAUAUUUGCAAAUGACAUAUCAGAUAAAGGGUUAAUAUCCAAAAUCUAUAAAGACAUUAUCAAACUCAACACCCAAAAAAACAAAUAAUCCAGUGAAGGAAUGGGCAGAAGACAUGGAUAGACAUUUUUCCGAAGAAGACUUCCAGAUGGCUAACAGACACAUGAGAAGACGCUUCAACAUCACUCAUCAUCAGGGAAAUACAAAUCAAAACCACAGUGAGAUAUCACCUCACACCUGUCAGAAUGGUUAACAUUAACAACUCAGGCAAUGACACAUGUUGGCAAAGUUGUAGAGAAAGAAGAACACUUUUGCACUGCUGGUUGGAAUGCAAACUGGUACAGACACUCUGGAAAACAAUAUGGAGGUUCCUCAAAAAAUUAACUACCCUAUGACCCAUCAAUUUCACUACUAGAUAUUUAUCCAAAGGAUACAGGUAUGCUGUUUGGAAGGGGCACAUUCACCCCAAUGUUUAUAGCAGCGUUAUUGACAAUAGCCAUAGUAUGGAAAGAGCCCAAAUGUCCAUCAACUGAUGAAUGGGUAAAGAAGAUGUGGUGUGUGUGUGUGUGUGUGUGUGUGUAUACAUAUAUACAUAUAUAUAUAUAUACAUGUAUAUAUAUGUAUAUAUAUAUAUACACACACCAUGGAAUAUUAGUCGGCAAUCAAAAAGAAUGAAAUCUUGCCAUUUGCAACAAUGUGGAUGGAACUAGAAUGUAUUAUGUUAAGUGAAAUUAGUCAGAGAAAGACAAAUAUUACAUGACUUCACUCAUAUGUGAAAUUUAAGAUACAAAAUAGAUGAACAUAAGGGAAGGGAAGCAAAUAUAAUAUAAAAACAGUAUGGGGGAUAAAACGUAAGAGACUUAAAUACAUAGAAAAAUUGAGGGUUGCUGGAGGGGUUUGGGAUAGGUUAAACGAGCAGGAGGCAUUAAAGAGGAUGCUUGCUGGAAUGAACAUUAGAUGUUAUAUGUAGGGAAUGAAUCACUGGGUGCUACUUCUGAAAUCAUCAUUGCACUAUAUGCUAACUUGGAUAUAAAAUUAAAAGAUAAAAUAAUUUUACCUACUUUAUUGAAAUACAAUUCACAUACCAUGCAAUUCACUCUCUGAAAGUUUACAGUUCAGUGAUUGUUAGGAUAUUCACAGAUAUUUGCAACAUCAUCACAGUAAAUUAUAGAACAUUUCCAUCGCUUUAAAAAGAAACCUUAUGUGUCUUAACUGACCCUCCUCUGUCCCCUCAUACUUCUCUCCUCAUCCCCAAGAAAUCACUAUUCUACUUUCUGUCUCUGUAGCUUUUCCUAUUCUGGAUUUUCAUAUGGAUAAAAUCAGGGCAUAUAGCUUUAUGUGAUUGGCUACUUUCACUUAGUUCAAUGUUUAAGAAGUUUAUCCACAUUGCAGUAUGUAUCAGACCUCCAUUCCUUUUUAUGGACAAAUAAUAUCCCAUUGCAUGUAUAUAACGCAUGUUGUUUAUUCAUUUAUCCAUUGAUAAACAUGUGGAUUGUUUCUACCUUUUGACUAUUAUAAAUUAUGCUAGUAUAUGUGUUGUUAUGUAAGUUUAUUUGUAUAAACAUGUUCUCAUUUUGCAGGGGAAUUGCUGAGUCAUAUGAUAAUUCUAUUUUUAACCAUUUGAGGGACUACCUUAUUGUUUUCCAAAGCGGUUGCACUAUUUUAAAUUCCCACAAGUAAUGUAUGAGAAUUCCCAUUUCUCUACAUCUUCACCAAUACUUGUUACUUGAUUUUUUGAUUCUACCCAUCCUAACUGGUAUGAAGUGAUAUCUCACUGUGGUUUUGCUUAGCAUGUGCCUGAUGACCAAUGAUGCUGAGCAUCUUUGCUUGUGCUUAUUGGUCAUUUGAAUAUCUGCCUUCCCUGGAAAAUGCCUAUUCUAAUUUUUUCCCAAUUGAUUGCUUGGGUUAUUUGUCUUCAUAUUAAAUUGUGAGGCUUCUUUAUAUAUUUCAUGCAAAAUCUGUCUUCAGAUAUAUGAUUGGCAAAUGUUUUCUUCCAUUCUGUGAUUGUAACUGAACCCGAAUUUGUCUGCCCGAUGCACAGCAAAGAAAAUCACUAAGACCUCAGGCAUGCAUCGAGGAAAGGGUUGAUUCAAGAGGUAGCCAAACAAGAAGAUAGGAGGACAAGACUAAAAUCCCCCUUCCUGAAAUGGGAGAGAACAAGUAUUUUAUAACCAUAGGGGUUGAGAUUACAUACAUAUUGAUGAAAAGGGAGGGGAAACUUACAACUAUUCACAAGAAAAGAUGGAGGAUGCACACUGGGCAAACAUAGGUAACAUGUAUCUCAUGUUCACUUUGAGAUGGAGACAUCAGAAUGAGGCAAAAUUCAGCCUCUGACAUCAGGAGGACCUUAGGACAGGAGAAGGGGCUAAGGGCAUGCUCUGAGAGCUGGUAUAAACUGCAUGAAAUCUUGGGCUAGUUAUGUCAGGCAAGGUAUGCAGGGCCUUGCUUGUUCAUAGGCUUGAACCAUGUCAUUUGACGCUGAGUCCAAGUUUCUGCCUAGACAGCUGAUGAAUUAGUUAGUGGAGACUGAAAAGACACAAUAGCUGAUUAGGGAGAAACAGUUCUAGGAAAAACGAGCUUUAAAUUUUCUGCUAGUUGCAACCUCAUUAACCCUAUGGGGCACAGUUUCAUGAUUGUCUUUUCACAUUCUUGGUAGUGUCCUUUGAAGCACAAAGUUUUGAAUUUUGAUUAAGUUAAGCUAAUUUUUCUUUUGUUUGUGCUUUUGGUAUCAUAUUAAAAAAUGUCUUGGGGCGCCUGGGUGGCGCAGUCGGUUAAGCGUCCGACUUCAGCCAGGUCACGAUCUCGCGGUCCGUGAGUUCGAGCCCCGCGUCAGGCUCUGGGCCGAUGGCUUGGAGCCUGGAGCCUGUUUCCGAUUCUGUGUCUCCCUCUCUCUCUGCCCCUCCCCCGUUCAUGCUCUGUCUCUCUCUGUCCCAAAA